rnacentral:snoRNA from 1 species
UGUCUCCCCUGAUGACUUGCACUGGGCUCUGAGUCCACAUGCAGAGGACGUGCAUCUUUGGCCCUGACAAGCCAGAGUUUCUGAGGAGAUU